GAGAGAGGUCGGGGACACGAAGUUCUGCUAAUUCUUCCUAUUAUGGUUCAAUUCCAUAACUCACUCG
rnacentral:tRNA from 1 species